rnacentral:rRNA from 1 species
GAAUAUUGCGCAAUGGGCGAAAGCCUGACGCAGCCAUGCCGCGUGUGUGAAGAAGGCCCUAGGGUUGUAAAGCACUUUCAGUGGGGAGGAAAGGUUACUGGUUAAUACCCAGUAACUGUGACGUUCCCCACCGAAGAAGCCCCGGCUAACUCCGUGCCAGCAGCCGCGGUAAUACGGAGGGUGCGAGCGUUAGUCGGAAUGACUGGGCGUAAAGCGAGCGUAGGUGGUUUGUUAAGUUGGAUGCGAAAGCCCAGGGCUCAACCUUGGAAUUGCAUCCAAAACUGGCAGGCUAGAGUACAGUAGAGGGGGGUAGAAUUUCCGGUGUAGCGGUGAAAUGCGUAGAGAUCGGAAGGAAUACCAGUGGCGAAGGCGGCCCCCUGGACUGAUACUGACACUGAAGUGCGAAAGCGUGGGUAGCGAACAGG